UAGGGAAUCUUCCACAAUGGACGCAAGUCUGAUGGAGCAACGCCGCGUGAGUGAAGAAGGUUUUCGGACCGUAAAGCUCUGUUGUUGGUGAAGAAGGAUAGAGGUAGUAACUGGCCUUUAUUUGACGUAUCAACCAGAAAGUCACGGCUAACUACGUGCCAGCAGCCGCGGUAAUCGUAGGUGGCAAGCGUUGUCCGGAUUUAUUGGGCGUAAAGCGAGCGCAGGCGGAAGAAUAAGUCUGAUGUGAAAGCCCUCGGCUUAACCGAGGAAUUGCAUCGGAAACUGUUUUUCUUGAGUGCAGAAGAGGAGAGUAGAACUCCAUGUGUAGCGGUGGAAUGCGUAGAUAUAUGGAAGAAUACCAGUGGCGAAGGCGGCUCUCUGGUCUGCAACUGACGCUGAGGCUCGAAAGCAUGGGUAGCGAACAGGAUUAGAUACCCUGGUAGUCCAUGCCGUAAACGAUGAGUGCUAAGUGUUGGGAGGCUUCCGCCUCUCAGUGCUGCAGCUAACGCAUUAAGCACUCCGCCUGGGGGAGUACGACCGCAAGGUUGAAAC
rnacentral:rRNA from 1 species